UUCCUCUUUUUCGCACCACUGCGGCAGUGGCUGCUUUGCAAUUGCAAUUUUCAAGGAUAUGCUUGAAGCAGAUUUAUAUGGAGGGCUCAGUACGUGCGGAAUUUAUUAAUGCCGCCCUGGAGAAGCUACCCCGUUUUUUCGUUGUGUUUUUUUUUUCGACUUUGCCAUCAUUAGCUGGAGCAACAAUGAUGCCACCCACCGCCCAAUCAACUUGCCAAAUGUUACGUAAGGUGAGAGUGGUGGCAAAAUUUGAAUCGUGUGCUUUUGGUGCAUUUUCUAUUACGAGAUUUCCGACUUCUGCUCCUUCAGAAACGCAAAUGGAAACAGACACCACGGCACACCUCGUGUUUGUUUGCCAGGCCCACUCCGCGAACUUUGGCUCCCAAUUCCGGACUGGAGAUGGCAGUUGAUGGGCCGCUUUGCCGGGAAAAACAGCGCUCACGUACGCGCAUUAACGAACUUCGGUGCUUAAAGUGCAGUCGAAGGCGAGAGAAAACAAACAAACGCCAACAAACGAAACCCACAGCUCUUCUCGCCGUAAAAGUUUAUCCCUGUUUGUGCAGUUGCCAAGCAUGCUCCAUCUCCCCGUGGUAAUGAGCUCCGGGUCCAAGAAGGAACGCCAGGUGGCGAGACUAGUGUCCAUGGUUUAGCAUAAUUUAUUCCUCGAAAGUUAAAACCAUCGCUUUCAGUUGCAGCCAAAGGUUCCGUCCAGAAGGUAUUAUAGGGAAGCGUAUUGAGUUCCCUCGAUUAAUUUUCCAUCCAACCUGACUGCCGUUAAUUAAUUUCCAUACAUGCUGCAUAUGGUUAAGAUAGUCGCAGGAAGAAUCCUUGCAAGCUGACUGCCAUGCCGGCACUUCAUCAACGGUGCAGGCGGAAAAAUCUGUUAAAUUGAAUGGUUUUCAGCUUUACGAACAGGACACUUCCAUUCUCAAUUUGCAUACAUUUUGAUUGUGAUUAUCCCGGGCCACUGAUUUAAAUGCGGACGGAUAAGGAUGUGGCUCGACGCGGGCGACACAGGCGUCGAAGCGAACACAAAGGAUAAUGCCUCCUCGACGGGCUGCAUGUGGCAUAUGGACCGCUGGCUGCACCAGCUCAUUAAUAAACACGGUGUCCUGGCUACAGUAACAACUACAAGUGCGCCUGCAUAUAUACAUUCGCCGGCAAACGCAAUUCCGCGGCUUGUUUGCCGCUUUUCCUCAUCCGCCAACGAUGAUGAGCUUGUGGUCAGAUGGUCCAUUUCAGGCUCAUUGUUUUCCAUCGGUUAAUGUCCAGCCUGUUUUUAAAUCGCCCGAAUAAAGUGUAUGUAUGCCAGGCGCCAGUAUACAUAACUACAU
ensembl:ncRNA lncRNA:CR44951 long non-coding RNA:CR44951